UAAACGGGUAGAGUUGAACUGCAAGCGCUGAGAAUUCAGCUGAUGAGUGUGAUUUGUGCUUGGCCAAGUUGGUGGACUCCGGGGUCUGCGUAGUAGCAGGUCUCUGCCUUCGGGUGGGGAUGCGCGAUACACUUAUCAAGUGUUGCGCGCUUCGGGUGUUUUUCGGCCUACUCGUCAGUGCACUUUCUCAGUGUGUUCACCACGACCAGCACCGCUGUCUGGCUGCUAUGGUUAAACCGGUUAUGCACAAUCCUUGUGGUUAUGCAUAGACGGGAUGGCAGGUGACUCGUUAGCAGGCUUGUGGCUUUGCCGCAUUCAUUGCUAUUGAAAGUUAUUAGCUGACCAUAGUGGUUCUGUGCAGUGUGUUGGAGGCGGCGGCUUUAGUUGUUGCAGGUGUUUCUGCUUGCUGACUUGUCCGGGUUUGGUUAUUUUGUUGCCUGUUUCCACAAGGCCUAGUGAUGGCUCGGGUUCGUUCGGUGAGUGGUUGCAUUUGUGACUUCAUUUCUGGGGCCAAUAGUCUGUGGUGUAGUGGUAGACUUUCUACCUGACCCGUCUUGAAACACGGACCAAGGAGAGUAACAUGUGCGCGAGUCAUUGGGCGUUACGAAACCCACAGGCGAAGUGAAAGUAAAGGUCUGACUUGUUCAGACUGAGGUGAGAUCCUGUCGUUUGGGACGCGCGGUACUACCAAGCAUCGAGCGGCAGGCGCAUCACCGGCCCGUCCCAUGUCAUUUGGCUUUCGGUCAGUUUUCGGUCGGGGCGGAGCAUGAGCGUACAUGUUGAGACCCGAAAGAUGGUGAACUAUGCUUGCGCAGGUUGAAGCCAGAGGAAACUCUGGUGGAGGACCGCAGCGAUUCUGACGUGCAAAUCGAUCGUCAAACGUAGUAUAGGGGCGAAAGACUAAUCGAACCAUCUAGAGCGGUCCCC
rnacentral:rRNA from 1 species